GAGGGUAUAGCUCAGGGGUAAAGUGCAUGCUUACCAUGCAUGAGGUCCUGGGUUCAAUCCCCAGCAUCUCCA
rnacentral:tRNA from 1 species